CCUACGGGAGGCAGCAGUAGGGAAUGUUCGUCAAUGGGCGCAAGCCUGAACGAGCAAUGCCGCGUGAAGGAGGAAGGUCUUCGGAUCGUAAAGUUCUGUUGAAGGGGAAAAAGAGCGGAGAGAGGAAAUGGUCUCCGAGAGAUAUUACCGAUGGAGGAAGGCACGGCUAACGACGUGCCAGCAGCCGCGGUAAGACGUAGGGGGCGAGCGUUAGCCGGAUGGGUUGGGCGUAAGGGGUGCGUAGGCGGCCUGCUAAGGCUGGAGUUAAAGGGACCGGCUCACCCGGUAUAGGCUCUGGAAACUGGCGGGCUAGAGAGCAGGAGAGGGCGGUGGACCUCCAUGUGUAGCGGU
rnacentral:rRNA from 1 species